rnacentral:rRNA from 1 species
GAUGAACGCUGGCUACAGGCUUAACACAUGCAAGUCGAGGGGAAACGACGGGGAAGCUUGCUUCCCCGGGCGUCGACCGGCGCACGGGUGAGUAACGCGUAUCCAACCUGCCUCUGACUGGGGGAUAACCCGUCGAAAGUCGGCCUAAUACCUCAUGGCAUCGUCUGCGGGCAUCCAACGACGAUUAAAGAUUUCAUCGGUCAGGGAUGGGGAUGCGUCUGAUUAGCUUGUUGGCGGGGUAACGGCCCACCAAGGCUACGAUCAGUAGGGGUUCUGAGAGGAAGGUCCCCCACAUUGGAACUGAGACACGGUCCAAACUCCUACGGGAGGCAGCAGUGAGGAAUAUUGGUCAAUGGGCGGGAGCCUGAACCAGCCAAGUAGCGUGCAGGAUGACGGCCCUAUGGGUUGUAAACUGCUUUUAUGCGGGGAUAAAGUGAGGGACGUGUCCUUCAUUGCAGGUACCGCAUGAAUAAGGACCGGCUAAUUCCGUG